CUCAAGGCGUUCAUUAAUCCAAGAAACUAUGGAUCUUUCAUUGUCGCUAUCAUAACAGGCAUGGUUGUCCUUUUCUUGUAAAUGUAAUCCGUGGACGGUUGUCUUAUACAACAGAAGCUAGCGUUUUCUUUCUACAAUUGGUACUGCAAUGAAAUGCCUCAAUUUUGCCUGUAUGUUUUGAACAGUAUCAAAGUCUGUGAUUUCCUCAUGUCGUCCAAUUCAUCUUCUGAGUCAUGGCAUCAUUGUACUCCAGAAAUUAGUAUCUCACAACUUCAGAUUUGUUAAUAACACCAGCAAAAUUCAGGGCAGUGAUGUGAUUCACAGCUGUAGCCACAUAGCACAUAUAUGUCUUGCCGAUGUCGGCAUAAGAUCGGAAGAUUGAAAGCGGUUUAGAGCGUCUAGUGGAGGUCAGCUGUAUGUAUGAACGAUCAAAAGAAAUGUGUGGCCAGGAAAUGAGUCUGCGAUGGGCGGUUCUAUGCGUUUAAACUGUACAAUCCUGCGCAGUCUUUUCCAUGGCCCUUUAUUUCAUGCCUUAAGUCCGAUACUGACCUCAUCCGGCUACAAUAUAUUUUUGAUACAAAACAAUUUUCCUUGGAACAUAUGGUACUCAAACUCGAAAUCAAGUUAGCUAGCUUAGUUAUAUUUAUAGGUAAGCAAAUUGGCCUUUCGUCCAAAUGCAAAUUGUGUUUUAGGUAACUUAAAACAGACCUUUUGAAAAAUUUGUGUUUACAGGUAAACCGAGAUUUUGGCUUGCAACGUUGGUGUACCUCUUAUCUCCGGUUUGAUGUCAGAGUAUGCCCUGUUUUCUUUUGUUUACAUGAGGCGAUUUUUUGCAAUUGUGGACGUAGUCAAAAUAGUGCUGGUUUUAAUCUUGCUAACAGGACUUUACAUGUUUACCCAAAUGUAUAGUUACUCUUCCACUGUGCUGAGGAACAGAGGCAAAGUAGUGGUAUUCCGAUGGUCUUGCAUGACAGGCCGAAUUUAAACACUUUGUUCAGAUCUCCCCACAACCAGCCAAAGGAUGGAAGCAAUACCCAAAUAUUUUCAUAAGAUUGCCGAGCAGUGGGAGAAGUCAUGUGUGACAUCAGACCUCAACACUGACCAGGAGCAAGAAUGCCAAAGAUGCAGACAACAUAUCAAUUGAGAAAAUAUUAGUUUUUUAUUUUAUUACUUUAGCCUGAUGUAGGAAAGUAUCAAAAAGACUCAGGUCAUCAUCCUCCUCAACAGCCUCAGGAGGUGGAAGAGCAUCUUCCUUCCAACACAUCUCAACCUCUCCACUAAAAAGGCAAGGAGGCUCCUCUUAAAGCCACUCCUCCAUUGGUUGUGAGAGCAAAGACAAACCACCAGAAUGGCCUCAGUAGUGUCACUAGCCAUCCAGAUCCAAGUUCCAGGCCAGACCAGAUCACAGGCCAGACCAGAUCACGGGCCAGACCAGAACAUCAUCUGAAAGGAAUUAACUUAUAUAGACAUGUGAGUUGGAGGCCAGGAGUGGAGGUUCAACUUACAACUUCGAGUCAAAUGGAAGGAAAUAACACUCUUGGAAGUUGGUUGAAUGAGUAUAACACAAAACAACAGUACUGUAGUCCUGUUAUACUUUUAAUGUUACUCAGCCCUGUCAUUGUCUCUUCUAGCUCCAAGACCUUGUUUUCAGACCUGUGAGCAAUGUGUCCCACCAAACUCUACAGACCUCAAAGUUGUCCUCAACCAAGGACAGAAUGUUAAGCGAGAAGGUCUGCACACCGGACUUUGCAAACCAAUUGAACUGGUCCGGGAGGAUUCAACAUUUGCACAUUUUUAUAGAAGUUAAACAUCGGUGGACAAAACCAACUCAUCAUUGGAAAUGUGGAUGCUGCCCAUACUUUCCUCUGGAAAUGUAUCUUGCUGUGGUGGGAAUGUUGUUGAGCGGGGCUGCCCUCCAUCUAUUCUCUUCCCUCCCCUCCAUCUCUUUCCUUCCUCACUUCCUCUUCUGUCAUCUCCACCUCUUCUUUCCUCUUUUCUAUCCUCUCUUCCAUUAUGGUGUACUCUCUACUCUUCCAUGUACCAUUUUGGCACUCUACUUUCUGUACCACUUUGUCCCUAAUUAUCAAGACUAUUGCCUCCCCUGCCUACUGAAGUAAUGCAUACACUUCUUAUGAAAACGCAGAGCAUAGCCUUUAAGGGAUGGUACUAAUAAUUUUUGGGUUAGGAUCUUUAAGGUUUCGAGGCAUGAGAUAAAAUAUAUUUUUCCCUCACUGUAUCUACAAACUCUACCUCCUGCGACAGGCAGAACUCCGUUUUCAGCCAGUGAUUGAGUUGCACAAGUUUGCUCGUCACUACCCCUAGCUGGGAGGGUAUGUGAAGCCUUGUGUCUCUUUGUGUGAAUGUAUAACCCCCUGUGUUCAAUGUUUUUGAUUAUUCCUUUUUGUUUUGUUCGUCUUAUGUUAGUUA